rnacentral:tRNA from 1 species
CGUAGCUCAGUUGGAUAGAGCACCGGCCUUCUAAGCCGGGGGUCGAAGGUUCGAGUCCUUCCG